rnacentral:sRNA from 1 species
AACCACACAAUGCAGAAGGAGCGAGAACGUUUCGGCCGAAAAGACCGGCCCAGAGAAGGGAGGGGUGCGGAAAGCCGCGGACUGCAGCCGCUGGCCUGGCUGCCGCCUCGAAACAACGCCCACGCACGGGAGAAGGGCAGGCUGGCGCCCAGGGCCGCGGCCAGAGGGCGAGAGUCCGCGCCUUCCGAGGGAGCCGCGCCCUGCGGGCCCCACCGUACCCGGGGGGAUGGAGGGCUGCCCCCGAGGCCCCCGCGCGGCUCGCGGUCCCACGCCUGCCGGCCCGCGCUAGCUACUCGACUCGUGCGUUUUAUCCGUCACCCAGGCCUUGUCUCCCGAGUCAUUGGCGUCGUGGUUCGAAAGAAAUGGAAGAAAAGGAGCGAUGUGACCGAUUCUGUUCGGUCCUCCUGCUUUGAGGCCUGGCAUUUGCAGAGGGAAACAGCAAGAAAAUCGUGGGGAUUUUGGAGGGGGGUGGGAGGGAAGGGUGGGGAAAC